CCUACGGGAGGCUGCAGUGAGGAAUAUUGGUCAAUGGGCGCGAGCCUGAACCAGCCAAGUCGCGUGAAGGAUGACUGCCCUACGGGUUGUAAACUUCUUUUAUAAAGGAAUAAAGUGAGGCACGUGUGCCUUUUUGUAUGUACUUUAUGAAUAAGGAUCGGCUAACUCCGUGCCAGCAGCCGCGGUAAUACGGAGGAUCCGAGCGUUAUCCGGAUUUAUUGGGUUUAAAGGGAGCGUAGAUGGGUUGUUAAGUCAGAUGUGAAAGUUUGCGGCUCAAACGUAAAAUUGCAAUUGAUACUGGAAGUCUUGAGUGCAGGUGAGGUAGGCAGAAUUCGUGGUGUAGCGGUGAAAUGCAUAGAUAUCACGAAGAACUCCGAUUGCGAAGGCAGCUUACUAGACUGCCACUGACAUUGAUGCACGAAAGUGUGGGUAUCAAACAGGAUUAGAUACCCCGGUAGUC
rnacentral:rRNA from 1 species